GCAAAGUCAAUUAUGCAAAAAUGAUGGAAGAGCACAUUCAAAUACUUAGGGCAGAGCAAAGAGUACAUGCAAUAGCCAUGCAAUGGAAGGGAACGUGAGUUGUUCAAAUCACUGAUUCAAGGCCAGCAUGGCUAAAACAGAUAGCAUGGGCAUGCAGUUUAAGACACAAUAUUAGAGGGUGGCAGGAAGUUGACCAUAUAAAACUACACAUGCCAAUGUAAGAAUUUUUUGUAUUUCUCCUAAAAGUAAUGUGAGGAUAUUAGAGACUGAUCUCACUCUGGACUGUGGCAUAGAGAAUUCUUUGGAAGAGGAAGAAAACUGAUAAGAGACCAGACCAUCAGAAGACCAUGGCAGAGUCCAGGUGAAAGAUUAUAGUGACUUGAUCUAAGUUGUUUUUUGAGAAAAUUAAGAAAAUUGAAUAGAUUUGAAAUAUAUUCAGGAGGUGAAGCCAAAUGCUUUGAAGAUGAAUUUCUGAACACUGUUGAACGUGAUGGAGGUAUCAUGGGUGAUUCAGGAUCUCUUGUGAAACUGGAUGGAAUUAUGGAACUGCAUAUUGAGUCUUGAAAGUAUCUAGUACAUGUACUGGAGGAACUCCAAUAUUUAAAACCAAAGAAGAAAUCUGAUGAAGGAGACUAAAAGGAAGCCUCUAGAUGAAGAAGAAAAAUGAAGAGAACAUUAUUACAUGGGAGCUAAGAAAAGAGACUGUCGCAAAAAAUAGGAGUUUGAUCUUCUUGAUGAACAUUAUAAUCAUUUUGUCAGGAUUUGGUCCAGAAUUGGAUUACUUUUAUAAAUACUGCCAAGACGAUGAUAACCUGUAUUUAGCUUAAUGUAAGGAUAUCAUAGAAAUGUCUGACAAAUGUCUGUAUGCAUUCAUGUUCAUUAUGCACUUCCUCAUGGAUUCUUCUGGAUGAUUAUAAUUAUUUAAAUUAUUGAGCUGGAUGCUUAGUUUAGUAUUCAUUUUCUCUUUAUCCUCACAGGCAAAAUACAAUAUACUUUCGUCAUGUUUGAUGUUUACUGAUCAUUUAAUAUUUUGUUAGCAGUAUAUUAAUAUAAUUUUUUAUUGCAUUUCUUCAAACUUAGUAUUUACUUAAAAUACUUUUUAUAUUUGUAAUAUGGCCCCAAAUUCUCUAAUUAUGUUUUCUUUUAAUUAUUUGUUCAGUUCAGCUCUCUGGGGCUGGUUUAAAUACAUCGAAGAGCUAAUCUAGAAAAGGAUGCCCUGAAGAAUAUAAGGAAAAAGUGAAAUUUUUCCAGAGAAAGGAGGGAACAUACCAAUAAUAUCUAAAAAUCUGCAUAGGGCCUUUGUCACUGUUCUGUGCUUGUUUAGUGGAUUUCAUUUCAAUUUGUGUUGUAAAGAGAGAAUGGCAUGGUAAAUUUCUGCCUAAAGAAUUUAUUGAUUGUUUUCUUUUAAAAGUAGUCUAUAGACCCUAGAUGAUAAAGUAUAUUCCCUGUAGGAUGUAAGUAUUGAUAAGUUACUGCAUAAUGCUAUUUGGAGCUUGAGUAGAUUAGCAAAGACAUAAUUAAUUUUGUCAGGAAACAUAACAGGUAGUCACAGUAUCUUAAAAAGAAUUGUUUUUAUUUGUAUAAAGCAUUAUUUUAUGUUAACUGGAAUAUGAGAUUUAAAAAGAAGAAGCAGAAAAAUAACUGUAGACAUGAAAAGAGAAAAAACAUAUUUGUAUAGUUGUAGCAUAAAGGUUGAGGUAUCCUAUAUUGUCUUUGCUUGAUUGUGAAUAUUACACAAAGUGCAAAGACAUGUCUUGUGUAAAAACUUCUAAAUUCCUACUGGCACAUGCACUUUAGCAGAUACAUAAAUUCCAUCUCAUUUUAUCUGCAAUGUCUAUUCCAUCUCUGUAGACAGGCAGAGCAAAGCUUAUUAUAGUUCACCCUUGUUAAUACGUUUUACCUUUCUUAAUUUUUAAAUAGCAUGCUGACAAAGACUCUUUCACUAAUAGUCUCUCACUGAUAAGACCCUCGAGCCCUCUUGUUGAAUUGGCCUUGGUCUUGGCCUUUCAUGUUUAUCCUGUCUUUGCCAGGCCUGCAUAUCCCAAAUUUAGAAAGAAUCCUGCCAAAUCAGCUUAGUAAUAGUCCCUCUACCUUUGAUAUCUAAUCACCCUUGACAUUUGAACAAGUUCCUCAUCUCCAUCAUUGAUUUAUAAGUACUUGGCUUAUCUUUAGCAAGAAUCUUACUGGGUCACUUUAGCAAGAAUUCCCCUUCCCUUGAUGUCUCUUCUUAGUAAUUUUCCAUCCACAGAUCCCUCACUUUGCACAUUGGUCAUAAAUCCCCACUUGUCCUUAUUGUAUUCAGAGUUGAGCCUGAUCUCUCUGCCUUGUUGCAAUAGUCUCUAAUGAAGUCACCAUUACUGUUUUAAAAAGUAUUAGAGUAAUUUUUUCUUUAACAGUGCUUGGUUAUUAAAAUGACAGUAAAAAGAAUUUAAAAUUAAACAUCUUAAAAUAGGUCUUUGAAGGUAAUAAUCAAACUAAAUAAUUGUUCAAAGGAGAAGUAAUGAAUAAGCUGCAUUUUUUUCAUCCAGCAGUACUCAAUAUACUAUACUGUGAACUCUCAUGGUCUGUUUCUUUACUAAUAUAGUCUAUCAUGCUUUGGAUGUGUGUGAAGAUUCAUAUAUGUGAAGUUCUGUUCAUGUGGAUGUUUGAUAAGAAGCAACUCUUCUCAUUUCAAUAAAGAAAAAAUAUAAAUGGAAACCACUGAGUUGUGAACGUUGGAAAACUGCAGGGAGGAAAUAUAUAAUUUCCUCUCCCCAUGUUAGGUUCAUGAGUGAGGCCCCUAUAAGAAAACACAAGUUAACAAAAGAAAAGCAUACAGAUUUAUUGAAUAUGUUUUACAUGCAUGAGAGCCU
rnacentral:lncRNA from 1 species